GAUGAACGCUAGCGGCAGGCCUAACACAUGCAAGUCGAGGGAGAAGCCCUUUCGGGGGCAGAAACCGGCGCACGGGUGCGUAACGCGUAUGCAACCUACCUUUCACAGGGGGAUAGCCCGAAGAAAUUUGGAUUAAUACCCCAUAAUAUUAUUGGAUGGCAUCAUUUGAUAAUUAAAACUGCGGUGGUGAAAGAUGGGCAUGCGUCCUAUUAGCUAGUUGGAGUGGUAACGGCACCCCAAGGCUACGAUAGGUAGGGGUCCUGAGAGGGAGAUCCCCCACACUGGUACUGAGACAGGGACCAGACUCCUACGGGAGGCAGCAGUGAGGAAUAUUGGUCAAUGGUCGGAAGACUGAACCAGCCAUGCCGCGUGCAGGAAGAAUGCCUUAUGGGUUGUAAACUGCUUUUAUAUGGGAAGAAUAAGGCGUAU
rnacentral:rRNA from 1 species